rnacentral:lncRNA from 1 species
AUUGUAGAAGGUAUGAUUUCACAACGUUUUUAAAAUGUUGUAGAUUAAAAAAAAAAAAGAAAAAAAAAUAUUGUUAUUCACCUAUAUUACCAAUGCACCUGCAAUAUGCUAAUGCCAUGAUAUAUAACUAAAAGGUCUAAAUUCUCAAUUAAAUUUAAAGCCAAAAUGUAUCAACUAUUCAAAAUACAUCCCAAUAAAUACCAUUCAUUUACAGUUUCACAUUACUACAUCCACAAAAUAUUACAUUGUAUUUUAUCAGUUAGACUACCUGAUUAAAGUAAAAUCUAGUCUUUGAUGAUCCUAACUAGGGUAUAAUCAACAUACUGUGAAAACUCAGCCAAAUCAAGAUCAUCAUAGAUUGCAGAUGCAAUACAGCACUCUCUGCACUACUGGAUCUGGAGACUGACUGCUUGCGUUUUCGAAGACCACUAGAUUGCAGAUGCUCAACAUCACUGCCCAUCCUUGUAGGGGGAUUGAACUUUGUGUCAUCUCCCAUAUACACUUUUAAGCCAGAAUCUGCACCCAACUUGGAUGCAAGGACUGUUGCAGCAGCUGCUUUUGCCGCUGGGUCAGGGUCAUAUCUCUGCAGAAGAAGAGUAGGCACAUUAUAUGUAUUUAAAUUAAGAUAGCAAAGAGCAGCCCCUUAAUAAAAGUUAACUCCUGAGUGGAGCCACUUAGCCAUUCAAUUCAAUAAAAGAGGCUUUCAGUUGUUAGUUAAUAUUUCCCACUAUAUGCAAGAAGAAUAGAAUAUAAUGAAGUCCCAAGGCUGUCAGGUAAAGAGGAAUGGUAAAUUAGCAUCACCUUAACAUUGAACCCAAGACUAUCCAGAUCUAGAAUGUCAGCAAAGUCCACCUGGAGAAAUAUUAUAUAUCAAUUUUCAUCCUUUGACAUGUACAAAUUAUCAACUUUAUUUUAGAUAGAAUUCCUAUAGGCUAAUAUGUAUU